UGCCCCAUGGCUGAGUUGGUUACAGCGUCCGACUGUUAUAUAGGAAGUCCUUGGUCGUUUCAAUCGGAAGGUCGAGAGUUCGAGCCUCUCUGGGGCAG